CGCGGCCUAUCAGCUUGUUGGUGGGGUGAUGGCCUACCAAGGCGACGACGGGUAGCCGGCCUGAGAGGGCGACCGGCCACACUGGGACUGAGACACGGCCCAGACUCCUACGGGAGGCAGCAGUGGGGAAUAUUGCACAAUGGGCGGAGGCCUGAUGCAGCGACGCCGCGUGAGGGAUGACGGCCUUCGGGUUGUAAACCUCUUUCGACAGGGACGAAGCGCAAGUGACGGUACCUGGAGAAGAAGCGCCGGCCAACUACGUGCCAGCAGCCGCGGUAAGACGUAGGGCGCGAGCGUUGUCCGGAUUUAUUGGGCGUAAAGAGCUCGUAGGCGGCUUGUUGCGUCGACUGUGAAAACCCGCAGCUUAACUGCGGGCCUGCAGUUGAUACGGGCAGGCUAGAGUUCGGUAGGGGAGACUGGAAUUCCUGGUGUAGCGGUGAAAUGCGCAGAUAUCAGGAGGAACACCGGUGGCGAAGGCGGGUCUCUGGGCCGAUACUGACGCUGAGGAGCGAAAGCGUGGGGAGCGAACAGGAUUAGAUACCCUGGUAGUCCACGCUGUAAACGUUGGGCGCUAGGUGUGGGGGGCC
rnacentral:rRNA from 1 species